UCAAAUCUCGUAUACAUAUUCUUUUCUCUCCACGUAGAUUCUCACGGGAAUCAGCAUACACCAAAUCAAAACUCCUUAAUUUCGCACCCCACAGCAAUAAUUGAAUCAGUUUCAUCAAUCACCGUUUCAAUUGCGUGAUUUUGUCAAUCUUCCUCCCCAAUCCAUGUCUAUCAAUAGCACAAUUUUGGGAGUGAUUCAAUAAUAUCUUUCCCGACUCCAGGCGGCGCGACUCCAUUGCGGGCACGGCUUUAGGCGGCGACUCUCCUCCUCCGUCCUAUCUCCUUCCCUAUUGUCUGAACUAACCGGCAAGGCGGCGACGCUAGGGCAGAAGAGAAACGACGGCAUAGUCAUUGUGGGUGCCGGAAUCGCUGGCCCCGCCCUCGCUUACACUCAGAAAGGCCAGGACUCCAACCUCCCGAGGGAUGGUAUUAACGCUUUAGUGUUGUACCUAUAGUUCUCCUAAGGAGUAGGCCAAAGGAAACUUAAGAACACUGGACAGCCAAAUCAAGAGGAAGUUUGUUUUCUUUCUUAACGGUAAAUCUCCUUUAGCAACUGUCUAUUUAACUCAAGACAGAAGACGUGGAAGUGGAACUAAGAAUGUCACUUUCCCUUGGCUUCGACCAUGUCUCCCGAUCCCUGUCAGUACAUAUGGGUGAAGCGAAUGGAAGAUGAGCUAUAGUUAUUAUUUUUCACGAGAAAAAUGAUAUAAGGGUAUGCUGGUACUGCCAACAACAGCCUGAGAAAUCUGUAUGUUAUGUUUGUCAAACUUCAGAAAAUCUUUGGAUGUGUUUUAUUUGUGGUUUUGUUGCCUACGGGGAGGGGAUUGCUUUUCCAGUGUUUGAUAAACUAGAAGCAGAGUUGGCUGAAGGUUGGUGAGUUCAACACUCAGUUUGAGAAAUGGCAGCUGCUUCUGAACUCCAUUGUCGGUACGAUCAAAACCAAAUCAACUGUAAAUUUUUUUUAAUGGAAUGUCUUUUUUUCCCUAUUUUGGGGAAAAAUAUUACAAUCUUCUUUAUAAUACGAAAAUGGGGUUCGCCCACGUGGCAGCCCUCAAAAUUCACUGAUAGUCUCAUUCUCAAUUCUCCUUUAUUCUCCCAAUUUUCCAUUCUCAUUCCCUCAGAUGCUUUCGGAUUUCAAUAAUUAGCACACUGUCAGCCCCAAUUAGAAGCCUACAAUCAGCCAACUCCCAUUCUCAAUAGUCAAUACCUGUUACAGAAGAACUUCCAUUCUCAUUCCCAUUAGAAGCCUAUAAUCAGCCAACUUCUAUUCUCAUUACAUGUUAAAGAAUAUGUUGAUCCCUAAUCAGUUUCAGAUUCCAAUCACCAAUUAGUAAUGAUUUCAUCGUUGUCUCAGCAUUUAAUUCUCAUUCACCGUCAUCUUCGGCUUAUCAAUAUUCAAUUUUUGAGGUAUGUUCUCUAAGAUUUACUCGCAUUUUAUUUAUUACUGUUAAUUUUUUGGUGAAAGAACAUUGAACUAAACAUGUGGUUGAAACUGUUCUUGCUGAAUUAUUGAUUGUGUUGCUAAAGUGUUGGUUAUAUUUCAUUGUGUGAGAUUGCCGGCGAGGGAUGUUUUUUAUUCAAAUAUGCUAUUGUGUAUCAACUAUUCAAUCAAAUGCCUAAGUAAUAUUGUGUAUUGAUUUUUCUUCGAAUUUCAAGUGUUGUGAAUGUGAAAAUGUGGAGUUUUUGUGGAGACAA